UGAGUUGCGAACGGGUGAGUAACGCGUAGGUAACCUGCCUGGUAGCGGGGGAUAACUAUUGGAAACGAUAGCUAAUACCGCAUAAUAGUUUAUGACUCAUGUUAUAAACUUGAAAGAUACAACUGUAUCACUACCAGAUGGACCUGCGUUGUAUUAGCUAGUAGGUAGGGUAACGGCCUACCUAGGCGACGAUACAUAGCCGACCUGAGAGGGUGAUCGGCCACACUGGGACUGAGACACGGCCCAGACUCCUACGGGAGGCAGCAGUAGGGAAUCUUCGGCAAUGGGGGGAACUCUGACCGAGCAACGCCGCGUGAGUGAAGAAGGUUUUCGGAUCGUAAAGCUCUGUUGUUAAGGAAGAACGGGAGUAGGAGUGGAAAGCCUACUUUGUGACGGUACUUAACCAGAAAGGGACGGCUAACUACGUGCCAGCAGCCGCGGUAAUACGUAGGUCCCGAGCGUUAUCCGGAUUUAUUGGGCGUAAAGCGAGCGCAGGCGGUUAGAUAAGUCUGGAGUAAAAGGCUAUGGCUCAACCAUAGUGUGCUCUGGAAACUGUUUAACUUGAGUGCAGAAGGGGAGAGUGGAAUUCCAUGUGUAGCGGUGAAAUGCGUAGAUAUAUGGAGGA
rnacentral:rRNA from 1 species